GUGAAUCAUCAAAUCUUUGAACGCAAAUUGCGCUCUCUGGUAUUCCGGAGAGUAUUUCUGUUUGAGGGUUAGUAUAAAUAAAAAUCGGUGUGGUUGCUGCCUUUCGUGGUGACGCAUCGGCUUUGGGUCGUCUUGUCUUUGGUUAGGUGACAAUAAAUUUUUCUUGAUUUUUUUGAACGUAUUUAAAUGAUUUUUCGUAUGUUUGUGAUUUCGAAUACUAGGUGCGGUUAU
rnacentral:misc_RNA from 1 species